UACGUAGGGGGCAAGCGUUGUCCGGAUUUAUUGGGCGUAAAGAGCGUGUAGGCGGCUUUGCAGGUCCGCUGUGAAACUCGAGGCUCAACCUCGAGCUGUCGGUGGAAACCGUAAAGCUAGAGUCCGGAAGAGGAGAGUGGAAUUCCCGGUGUAGCAGUGAAAUGCGCAGAUAUCGGGAAGAACACCCGUGGCGAAGGCGGCUCUCUGGGACGGUACUGACGCUGAGACGCGAAAGCGUGGGGAGCGAACGAGG
rnacentral:rRNA from 1 species